GAGAUUUCGUCACACACCAGACCACAAGGGCUGAUGAGACUUCCAAGAUAAGUGAAGUG
rnacentral:pre_miRNA from 1 species